AAAUUAAAUAAUCUCCGUGCAAAAAUAUCUAAGGAAUAAGGCAUAUGCUUAAAUCUAUGAUAUUGCGCCAAAGUGAAAAAUUAUAUGAUUAAUCACUUUCAGGGUUACUUGGGAAACCAUUUGACCUUCCGUAUUUGAAAAGGAGAGUUAUUUACUUAGGC
rnacentral:ncRNA from 2 species